rnacentral:rRNA from 1 species
UACAGAGGUCUCAAGCGUUGUUCGGAUUCAUUGGGCGUAAAGGGUGCGCAGGCGGAUAUGUAAGUCAGUGGUGAAAUCUCUGGGCUUAACCCGGAAAUUGCCAUUGAUACUAUAUAUCUUGAAUGCUGUGGAGGUAAGCGGAAUAUGUCAUGUAGCGGUGAAAUGCUUAGAUAUGACAUAGAACACCUAUUGCGAAGGCAGCUUACUACGCAGAUAUUGACGCUCAUGCACGAAAGCGUGGGGAUCAAACAGG